ACAAGACAGCACCGGGUUUCACACUGGCAAGGCAGGAGGCUGUGUGCUGCCAGAACGACCAGCAGGGGGCGCAAAGGCCACUCCAGGCACCUGCUGGCCUCAGAGAAAACAGAAAGGAAACCAGGAAGCCCACUCCUGCUGUCCUUUCUCUGCAAGGAAAUGUGCCAGGACACUGCAGCCCAGACAGUCGGCAGUAGAGGACCCAUGAAGUAUCUUUGUGCAAAGAAAGCAGCAAAGAGAAUUAAGAGAACUGCAUCAUAUAAAGAGUGAAUUAAACCAUCUAAAGGAGCAAAAAGUCAUCAUCACAUGGACAAGAAAUUAAGACGUAACAUCCAUCUCACUAUUUGCAAAGUGGCUUAUUCCUACAGACAAUGCAGAUAUGUAAAAAGGUUUUUCUAUAGUUUCAUCCUUUGUAGAACCU
rnacentral:lncRNA from 1 species